AACGAACGCUGGCGGCAUGCCUAACACAUGCAAGUCGAACGAGACCUUCGGGUCUAGUGGCGCACGGGUGCGUAACGCGUGGGAACCUGCCCUUAGGUUCGGAAUAACUCCCCGAAAGGGGUGCUAAUACCGGAUAAUGUCUUCGGACCAAAGACUUAUCGCCUUUGGAUGGGCCCGCGUUGGAUUAGCUAGAUGGUAGGGUAAAAGCCUACCAAGGCGACGAUCCAUAGCUGGUCUGAGAGGAUGAUCAGCCACACUGGGACUGAGACACGGCCCAGACUCCUACGGGAGGCAGCAGUGGGGAAUAUUGGACAAUGGGCGAAAGCCUGAUCCAGCAAUGCCGCGUGAGUGAUGAAGGCCUUAGGGUUGUAAAGCUCUUUUACCCGGGAUGAUAAUGACAGUACCGGGAGAAUAAGCGCCGGCUAACUCCGUG
rnacentral:rRNA from 1 species